GGUCGGGCAGGGACGAAAGUCGGGCUUAGUGAUCCGGCGGAUCCGAAUGGAAGGGCCGUCGCUCAACGGAUAAAAGCUACCCUGGGGAUAACAGGCUGAUCUCCCCCAAGAGUUCACAUCGACGGAGUGGUUUGGCACCUCGAUGUCGGCUCAUCGCAUCCUGGGGCUGUAGCAGGUCCCAAGGGUUGGGCUGUUCGCCCAUUAAAGCGGUACGCGAGCUGGGUUCAGAACGUCGUGAGACAGUUCGGUCCCUAUCCGGCGCAGGCGGAGGAUAUUUGAGAGGAGCUGUCCUUAGUACGAGAGGACCGGGAUGGACGGACCACUGGUGUAUCUGUUGGCUAUCAGAGCCAUGGCAGAGUA
rnacentral:rRNA from 1 species